CUCGUGUCGGGAGAGUCAGGCACAGUUUAAGUUUUACAUUUAUGUGAAAUUACACUUACAUGUGGGUGCUCAAGUUUAAUGUAAGAAAUUCUUAUUUGAAUUAAAACCUAUUUUGAAUUAACAUCAAUGUAAGGACCAUGUAUCAAAAUUUGUGGGGGGGGGUCACAGGAAAAUACAUAGUCUUAACUACACUUGUCAAAAAGCACGACACAGUGAACGUAACUCAACUCGCUUUCAGCAUAAGAGGGUGAGAAAUGUGAAGUAGAUGAAAAAGUGUAAUAGGAAGGUAAUAGAAAAUAAAGAACAGGAAAGACUUAUGGGCUCGAAUAGACUAACUGCACCCAGAACUGAGCCCAUAACCAAAGAUCUGCCACCCCAGAGGUUAUCAGGACCAGAGUCACAAAUAAGCUCUACCAGUUAUUCAAAACAAAAAGCCCAAAUUUGAUUUUAGACAAGGUAAUCCUGAGCAUAGUAAAAGAAUGGGCAACCCCUGACCACUGUCAGAUGCUGGUGUGUUUGUAACACCCAAAUAGGUGCAGCAUCGGAAAAGAGCACUGUAGCACAACUCUGCUUAUGAAGAGAGAGGCAACAUUUCAAAUAAAAUAUUAGCAAAUUCAAUCCAAGAAUAAAUGAAAACCUGCAUCACCAUCAUGCAGGCCAUGUAAAUAUGGCACUGCGUUGGAAAUCUACCAGUGUAGCUCACACAAUAAUGAAGUGAAGUGGAAGCCCUGUGGCCUCCUCUGCCGAUGCUGGGAAGGUAUUGAGUAAAGCUGGAACCCACAAGCCUCAUUAAAAUUCUUGGGAAAUUACAAAUAAGAUUUUCAAAUUUCUAACUGAAGUUGUCUAGCAGAAAUUCCUAGUAGACACAGUAUGUGAGGAAAAACAUCAGAAUCAUGCCCUUUAUCUAGGAACAGAGGCAGAUGCUGCUCUCACCAUGGCUUUUUUAAAUGUUACUCACUAAAGCAGUAUUUUAUCUACACAAAAUAGAGUCAGAAUAAAACAAAGUUGUAUAUCAAGCCCAGUUUUUAAUAUGUUUAAAAUAAAAUAUAGAAAAAUAUAUUUAUAUAUAUAUUAUUAUAUAUACCAGAUAAGGAAGACCUGCUCAGUAAGAUAACAAUGUAGAUGUCAUAGAGAAGAAAAAAAAUUGACGAAAAUCGACCUAAAUUUAUGAAUAAUGGCACCGUAAACAAAAUGAAAAGCCAAGCAAUCAUAUAGAGUGAAGGACCAAGGCUCACUCCUUGUCCACCUUUUUCGCCUUUGAAACCUGUUUGCAGCAAAGAUCUAACAAAGCUCACGUCCAAAGUUAUUUGGAUCUAAGUAUUCCGGGCAGCUAUUCUCAUUUUGGCUCAAGUAAACUCUUUAAAAUGUAUUUUGUGCCUCAGCUUCUUGCUUUAGGUCAACAAAAGAGACACAGAUACAGGUUUUAAAGCCAAUAAUGUAAAAUUCAAGAUUUUCUUCUUUACCGCAUUGGAAAAUAAUAGGAAUUAUGUAAGAUUAAUUGUUGCUGAAAAAUAAUCAAUUAGAAAAUACAAUUCGCCAUCUCAUUGCUGCAGAGAAAUUUGGGAGUACCUAUUAAAAUUCCAACAUGAGGAGGAUUUUUUGUGACGGAUCAUGGCGGACAAGAGGCAGGACUAGGUUUCAGCUCUCACUUGGACAAACAGAGCAGUGUGUGGAGGUUCACGUCGUGAACUUUUGCUCCAGAACGACGGCAGGAAUACAUUAGGAAAGCCAAGAGAAACCGCAGACCCUCUGAAGAAAGCGGAUGGCUCCUGCAGGACUCGGGAGACACCCCAAAUACUGUGAGUGCCCAAACUGAGGAAGUGGGAGAGAUCGUCCACCCUGAACAUGCACCCCCACUGCGGAACCUGAAGGUCUAGAUUACGGGAGAAGAUUCUGACUUUACCCGGAGCUGAGUCCAUUUAGAGAGCCGAGUGGAAUACAAGAGUAGAGGAAGCAGCCAGAAAAGCCCUGUGGGAUCUCUGGGUCCCCUAGGAAGCCAUUUCCACCUUGCCUCACAGGGGUCCUUCAGGAGGGCUGCCAGAGGCACCUGUAAAAGGCCACAGGGAGAAGGAAACUGCCAGCUGAACUUUGUAACAAUUUGAACUUGGUGGCUAGAUCCAGAAGAGAGAUAACAAUAACUACACCUUAGCUCUCAGGAAGCCACAUCCCUAGGAAACAGGGAGAGUACUAAUCACGUCCAGGGAACACCCCCUGGGGCGAAAGAAUCUGAACAACAGGCUAGAGCCCUAGACCUUCCCUCUGACAGAGACUACCCAAAUGAGAAGGAACCAGAAAACCAACUCUGGUAAUAUAACAAAAUAAGGCUCUUUAACACCCCCUAAAAUCACACUAGCUCACUGGCAAUGGAUCCAAACCAAGGAGAAAUCCCUGAUUUACCUGAAAAAGAAUUCAGAAGGUUAAUUAUUAAGCUAAUCAGGAAGGCACCAGAGAAAGGCAAAGCCCAAUGUAAGGAAAUCAGAAAAAUGAUACAAGAAGUGAAGGGAGAAAUAUUCAAGGAAAUAGAUAUCACAAAUAAAAAACAAUCAAAACUUCAGGAAACAUUGGACACACUCAGAGAAAUUCAAAAUGUACUGGAAAGUCUCAGCAAUAGAAUCAAACAAGCAAAAGAAAACUUCAGAGCUCAAAGACAAGGUCUUCAGAUUAACCCAAUCCAACAAAGACAAAGAAAAAAGAAUAAGAAAAUAUGAAGAUAGCCUCCAAGAUGUCUGGGAUUAUGUCUAAUGACCAAACCUAGGAAUAAUUAGCAUUCCUGAGGAAGAAGAGAAAUCUAAAAGUUUGGAAAGUUUAUUUUGGGGAAUAAUCGAGGAAAACCUCCCUGGCCUUGCUGGAGACCUAGACACCAAAUACAAGAGGCUCAAAGAACACCUGGAGAAUUCAUUGCUAAAAGAUCAUUGCCCAGGCACAUUGUCAUCAGGUUACCUAAAGUUAAGAUGAUGAAAAGAAUCUUAAGAGCUGUGAAACAAAAACACCAGGUAACCUAUAAAGUAAAAACCUAUCAGAUUAACAGCAGAUUUCUCAGCAGAAACCCUACAAGCUAGAAGGGAUUGGGACCCAUCUUCAGCCUCCUCAGACAAAACAAUUAUCCACCAAAAAUGUGGUAUCCAGCAAAGCUAAGCUUCAUAAAUGAAGGAAAGAUAACAAUCUUUCCCAGACAAACAAAUGAUGAGAAAAUUCACCCCUACCAAGGCAGCACUACAAGAACUGCUAAAAGGAGCUCUAAAUCUUGAAACAAAUCCUGGAAACACAUCAAAACACAACCUCUUUAAAGCAUAAAUCUCACAGGACCUAUACAACAAAAAUACAAUUAAAAAAACCAGCAAAAUCACAAAAACCCAAGGGGUACAGGCAACAAAUAGCACAAUGAAUGGAAUGAUACCUCACAUCUCAGUACUAACAUUGAAUGUAAAUGGUCUAAAUGCUCCACCUAAAAGAUACAGAAUUGCAGAAUGCAUAAGAAUUCACCAACCAUCUGCUGCCUUCAAGAGACAUGCCUAACACAUAAGGACUCACAUAAACUUAAGGUAAAGGGGUAGAAGAAGGCAUUCCAUGCAAAUGGACACCAAAAGCGAGCAGUGUAGCUAUUCUUAUAUCAGACAAAAUAAACUUUAAAGCAACAGUGGUUAAAAAAGACAAAGAGGGUCAUUAUAUAAUGAUAAAAGGCCUUGUCCAACAGGAAAAUAUCACAAUCCUAAAUAAAUGUGCACCUAACACUGGAGUUCCCAAAUUUAUAAAACAAUUACUAACAGAACUGAGAAAUGAGAUAGACAGCAACACAGUAAUAGUGGGGGACUGCAACACUCCACUGACAGCACUAGACAGGUCAUCAAGACAGAAAGUCAACAAAGAAACUGUGGAUUUAAACUAUACCCUGGAACAAAUGGACUUAACAGGUAUUUACAGAACAUUCUACCCAACAACUGCAGAAUACACAUUCUAUUCAACAGCACAUGGAGCUUUCUCUGAGAUAGACCAUAUGAUAGGUCUCAAAAUAAGCCUCAAUAAAUUUAAGAAAAUUGAAAUUAUAUCAAGCACUCUCUCAGACCACAGUGAAAUAAAACUGGAAAUCAACUCCAAAAGGAACCUUCAAAAUCAUGCAAAUACAUGGAAAUUAAAUAAUCUGCUCCUGAAUGACACUGGGUUAAAAAUGAAAUCAAGAUGGAAAUUAAAAAAUUCUUCGGGGCCAGGCACAGUGGCUCAUGCCUGUAAUCCCAGCGCUUUGGGAGGCUGAGCUGGUGGAUCACCUGAGACCAGGAAUUCAAGACCAGUCUGGCCAACAUGGUGAAACCCAAUCUCUACUAAAAAUACAAAAGAUUAGCUGGGCAUGGUGGUGGAUGCCUAUAAUCCCAGCUACUCGGGAUCCUGAGGGAGGAGAAUCACUUGAACCCAGGAGGCAGAGGUUGCAAUCAGCCGAGAUUGUGCCACUACACUCCAGCCUGGGCAACAAGAGCGAAACUCCAUCUCAAAAAAAAAAAAAUUCUUUGAACUGAAUGACAAUAAUGACACAACCUAUCGAAACCUCUAGGAUACAGCAAAGGCGGUGCUAAGAGGAAAGUUCAUAGCCCUAAAUGCCUACAUAAAAAAUCUGAAAGAGCACAAACUGACAAUCUAAGGUUACACCUUAAGGAAUUAGAGAAACAAGAACAAACCAAACCCAAACCCAGCAGAAGAAAGGAAAUAACCAAGAUCAGAGCAGAACUAAAUGAAAUUGAAACAACAACAAAAAAAAUACAAAAGAUAAAUGAAACAAAAACCUGGUUCUUUGAAAAGAUAAAUAAAAUUGAUAGACCAUUAGCAAGGUUAACCAAGAAAAGAAGAGAAAAUCCAAAUAAGCUCAAUUAGAAGCAAAAUGGGAGAUAUUACAACUGACACCACUGAAAUACAAAAGAUCAUUCAUGGCUACUAUGAACAGCUUUAUGCACAUCAACUGGGAAACCUAGAGAUGGAUAAAUUCCUGGAAAGAUAUAACCCUCCUAGCUUAAGUCAGGAAGAAUUAGACACCCUGAACAAUAACAAGCAGUAAGAUUGAAAUGGUAAUAUAAAAAUUACCAACAAAAAAAGUCAAGAACCAGACAGAUUCACAGAAGAAUUCUGCCAGACAUUCAAAGAAGAAUUGUUACCAAUCCUAUUGACACUACUCCACAAGAUAGAGAAACAGGCAACCCUUCCUAAAUCAUUCUGUAAGGCCAGUAUCACCCUAAUAGUAAAACCAGAAGAGGACAUAACCAAAAAAGAAAACUACGGACCAAUAACCCUGAUGAACAUAGAUGCUAAAAUCCUUAACAAAAUACUAGCUAACCAAAUCCAAUGCAUAUCAAAAAGAUAAUCCACCAUGAUCAGGUGGGUUUCAUACCAGGGAUGCAGGGAUGGCUUAACAUACACAAGUCAAUAAAUGUGAUACACCAUGUAAGCAGAAUCAAAAGCAGAAAUCACAUGAUCGUCUCGAUAGAUGCAUAAAAAGCAUUCAAAAAGAUCCAGCAUCCUUUUAUGAUCAAAACUCAGCAAAAUUGGCAUACAAGGGAAAUAGCUCAAUGUAUUAAAAGCCAUCUAUGACAAACCCACAGCCAACAUAAUUCUGAAUGGGGAAAAGUUGAAAGCAUUCCCUCUGAGAAUGGGAACAAGACAAGGAUGCCUACUCUCACCACUCCUCUUCAACAUAGUACUCGAAAUCCUAGCCAGAGGAAUCAGACAAAAGAAAUAAAGGGCAUCCAAAUCGGCGAAGAGGAAGUCAAACUGUUGCUGUUUGCUAAUGAUAUGAUUGUUUACCUAGAAAACCCUAAAGACUCCUCCAGAAAGCUCCUAGAACUGAUCAAAUAAUUCAGAAAAAUUUCUGGAUACAAAAUUAAUGUACAGAAAUCAGUAGCUCUUCUAUACGCCAACAGCAACCAAGCUGAGAAUCAAAUCAAGAACUCAACCCCUUCUACAAUAGCUGAAAAAAAUAAAAUACUUAGAAAUAUACCUAACCAAGGAGAUGAAAGACCUCUACAAGGAAAACUACAAAACACUGCUGAAAAAAACCACAGACAACACAAACAAAUGGGACACAACCCAUGCACAUGGAUGGGUAGAGUCAAUAUUGUGAAAACAACCAUACUGCUGAAAGCAAUCUACAAAUUCAACACAAUUCCCAUCAAAAUACCACCAUCAUUCUUCAUCAAAUUAGAAAACAAAAUCCUAAAAUUCGUAUGGAACCAAAAAAGAGCCUGCAUAGCCAAAGCAAGACUAAGCAGAAAGAACAAAUCUGGAGGCAUCACAUUACCUGAUUUCAAACUAUACUAUAAGGCCAUAGUCACCAAAACAGCAUAGUACUGGUACAAAAAUAAGCACAUAGACCAAUGGAAUAGAAUAGAGAACCCAGAAAUAAACCCAAAUACUUACAGCCAAUUGAUCUUCGACAAUGCAAACAAAAACAUAAAGUGGGCAAAGGACACCCUAUUCAACAAAUGAUGCUGCGAUAAUUGGCAAGCCAUGUGUAGGAGAAUGAAACUAGAUCCUCAUCUCUCACCUUAUACAAAAACAACUCAAGAUGGAUCAAGGACUUAAGUCUAAGACCUGAAACCAUAAAAACUCUAGAAGAUAACAUUGGAAAAAUUCUUCUUGCUAUUGGCUCAGGCAAGGAUUUAAUGACCAAGAACACAAAAGCAAAUUCAAUAAAAAGAAAGAUAAAUAGUUGGGACUUAAUUAAACUAAAGAGCUUUUGCACAGCAAAAGGAACAGUCAGUAGAGUAAACAGACAACUCACAGAGUGGGAGAAAAUCUUCACAAUCCACACAUCUGACAAAGGAUUAAUAUCCAGAAUCUACAACAAACUCAAACAAAUCAGUAAGAAAAACCAAACAAUCCCAUCAAAAAGUGGGCUAAGGACAUGAAUAGAGAAUUCUCAAAAGAAGAUACACACAUGGCCAACAAACAUAUGAAAAAAUGCUCAUCACUAAUGAUCAGGGAAAUGCAAAUCAAAACACAACACAUUAGCACCUUACUCUGGCAAGAAUGGCCAUAAUAAAAAAAAUCAACGAAUAAUAGAUGUUGGUGUGGAUAUGGUGAAAAGGGAACAACACUUCUACCCUGCUGGUAGGAAUGUAAAUUAGUACAACCACUGUGGAAAAACACCGUGGAGAUUCCUUAAAGAACUAAAAGUAGAACUACUAUUUGAUCCAGCGAUCCCAUUCCUGGGUAUCUACCCAGAGGAAAAGAAGUCAUUAUACGAAAAAUGCAUUGGCACAUCCGUGUUUAUAGCCGCACAAUUCACAAUUGCCAAACUGUGGAAGCAACCCAAAUGCCCAUCAAUCAAUGAGUGGAUAAAGAAACUGUGAUUUUUUAUAUACGAUGGAAUACUACUCAGCCAUAAAAAGGAGUGAAUUAAUGGCAUUUGCAGAGACCUGGUUGAGAUUGGAGACUAUUAUUCUAAGUGAAGUAACUCAAGAAUUGAAAACCAAACAUUUUAUGUUCUCACUCAUAAGUGACACCUCAGCUAUGGGGAUGUAAAGGCGUAAGAAUGACACAGUGGACUUUGGGGACUCAGGGGGAAAGGGUGGGAAGGGAGUGAGAGAUAAAAAGCUACAAAUUGUGUUCAGUGUAUACUGCUUGGGUGAUGGGUGCACCGAAAUCUCACAAAUCACCACUAAAGAACUUACUCAUGUAACCAAACACCACCUGUUCUCAAUAACUUAUGGAAAUAAAAAAUUCCAACAUGAACAUAAUUCAUAACCCACUAACUCCACUUUGUAAUAUGUACCUAGAGAUACACAUUGGUGUGCAUGAGGAGGCUUGCAUAGCUUUGAGGUUGUCGAUACAUUCAUAGCUACAUAUUUUCUGCAGUGGAUGGGGGGUUUGCAGCACCCAGUGGAACAUCAUCGGGCUGCCUGCACCCCCACUUAGCCGAGACCAGAAGGAGCAAGGUCAUGAAGAAAAGCCCAGUCCUAAAAUAGAGGAUGCUGCAAAGCUCUCACAGCUCCCUGGGCUGAGUGAUCAGUAGUCAGAGACUCAAAACACUUUAAUUUAUAGUCUCGUGUAGUUGCUGGAAACAUGUUUCUCUUAGGAAAACUGAAUAAACAUAGAUAUGAUAAAUUGUGUGGAUCAUUUUCUGUUUUGCUUUGGGAUUCAAAAGUCCCAACUUGCUCCAAGCUCACUAAGAACUUCCACCCUCUCACUCCACCGUAAAUACUCAGAGACCAAACUGGAUGCUUUGAGUGUAAAGGACAUCAAACAUUUAAAAGCACUGAUUUAUGAUGUGUCAUCUAUUGGGUUUAUGGAGCUACUCCUAGAGUAUACGGUAUAUUUUUCAUCUCACUGGAGUGACUGUUAGCUCAAUCACUCAACUACUGAAGGCUGCCCUGGGGAUGGACAGGAUCUGAAUAAUUGAUGGACACUCUUAACUGCAAGCCAGGAGGUUCAUGCCUGACACCAAGAGCCCUGGAAAGUGCCCUGGAGACCCACCCUGGGGCCUCUCCCACGUUCUCACCCACGGGCACGCAGGUGUCCUCCCUGCCAGAUGUGGUCUUGCCUUUUAUUUUUAAAAUUGUUUACAAAUAAUUUUAUUGUUAUUUUUCUCUAAGUACAAAGAUAAUAUAUGCUCAAUAAUGAACAUUUUGAAAUAAGAAAAGUGACAAGUACAAUAUCAUCUAAAAUUUUACUAAGCUGGGCAACAUUUUACCAUUUCCAUAAUAUCACUGUAUAACAUGAUUGUCUAAAGUUGCUUGUGUUUCUCAUGCUCAUAGCCUGUGAUCAACGUUUAAAGUUUUUCAGUAUUUUGGUGAUAUAAACAAUCGUGACAAACUAAUAUAUUCACCCACUUUUAAGGGCAGUUUGGACAUUGUCCCUAGGGAAGAUUCUUGUGGUGCUGUGAAUGGGCCUGAUUUCAUUUCAUACCUUAUGUCACAUCGUGUCCCGAAUGUAUUCACCAGUUUACUUUUGCACAGCAAUGCAUGGAUGCAAAUGAUUUCUCAAUACCCUCAACAACACUAAAUUAAAAUUUCAUAAUUUCUUUCCAGUCUGUAUGUUUAAAAACAGCAUCUUGCUGUUCAUUUAUCUUUCAUUGAUAUCUGUGUGUGUGUGUGUGUGUGUGUGUUUACCUACACACACGUAUUUGGGUUUUCUUGUAAUUUUCUUGUUCACAUCGGGUGUUUAUUCCAUUGGGUGUUUAUUUUUUUCUCAUUGCUUUAUAAGAGCUCUUUAUAGAAUGAAGAUAACAAUUCCUUGUGAUUCCAUAUUUUCAAGUCGUCCCCUGAGGGUUUGCCUCUUG
rnacentral:lncRNA from 1 species